rnacentral:rRNA from 1 species
AGCGAACGCUGGCGGCAGGCCUAACACAUGCAAGUCGAACGAACCUUUCGGGGUUAGUGGCGGACGGGUGAGUAACACGUGGGAACGUGCCUUUAGGUUCGGAAUAACUCAGGGAAACUUGUGCUAAUACCGAAUGUGCCCUUCGGGGGAAAGAUUUAUCGCCUUUAGAGCGGCCCGCGUCUGAUUAGCUAGUUGGUUGAGGUAAUGGCUCACCAAGGCGACGAUCAGUAGCUGGUCUGAGAGGAUGAUCAGCCACAUUGGGACUGAGACACGGCCCAGACUCCUACGGGAGGCAGCAGUGGGGAAUAUUGCACAAUGGGCGAAAGCCUGAUGCAGCAACGCCGCGUGAGGGACGACGGCCUUCGGGUUGUAAACCUCUUUUAGCAGGGAAGAAGCGAAAGUGACGGUACCUGCAGAAAAAGCGCCGGCUAACUACGUG